rnacentral:rRNA from 1 species
AUUGAACGCUGGCGGCAUGCCUAACACAUGCAAGUCGAACGGCAGCACAGUAAAGAUUUCGGUCUUUAUGGGUGGCGAGUGGCGGACGGGUGAGUAAUGCGUAGGAAUCUGUCCUGGAGAGUGGGAUAACCCGAGGAAACUCGGGCUAAUACUGCAUGAUAUCGCGAGAUCAAAGGCAGGGGAACCUUCGGGGCCUUGCGCCGCAGGAGCAGCAUACGUCGGAUUAGCCAGUUGGUGGGGUAAAGGCCUACCAAGGCGACGAUCCGUAGCUGGUCUGAGAGGAUGACCAGCCACACUGGGACUGAGACACGGCCCAGACUCCUACGGGAGGCAGCAGUGGGGAAUCUUGGACAAUGGGGGAAACCCUGAUCCAGCGAUGCCGCGUGUGUGAAGAAGGCCUUCGGGUUGUAAAGCACUUUAGUUGGGGAAGAAAAGUAAUGAGUGAAUAACUGAUUGCUCUGACGGUACCCAAAGAAUAAGCACCGGCUAACUCUGUGCCAGCCGCCGCAGUAA